rnacentral:ncRNA from 1 species
AACUUUUCCGAGGGGUGCCUGUUAUUCAGGCUGAGAUGGAGUUAUCCAAACCCUUUGAACCUGAUCCGGCUGAUACCGGCGUAGGAACGGACAUAAACCAUAUA